AAAUAAUUGUGUGUGUGUGUGUGUGUGUGUGUGUGUGUGUGUGUGUGUGUGUGUAUCACACACACACACACACACACACACACACACACACACUUCCAUAUACACACAU